rnacentral:rRNA from 1 species
CCCUUAGAUGUUCUGGGCCGCACGCGCGCUACACUGACGCAUUCAACGAGUCUAAAACCUGGUCUGAUAGGGCUGGGUAAUCUUUUGAAUGUGCGUCGUGAUUGGGAUAAAUGAUUGUAAUUCUUCAUUUUCAACGAGGAAUGCCUAGUAAACGCAAGUCAUCAGCUUGCAUUGAUUACGUCCCUGCCCUUUGUACACACCGCCCGUCGCUCCUACCGAUUGAAUGAUCCGAUGAAUAUCAUGGAUUGAGGAUGCAAGUAGGUUAGCCUAUCUUCAUCUUCGAGAAGUGAAGUAAAUCUUAUCAUUUAGAGGAAGGAGAAGUCGUAACA